GAUGAACGCUAGCGACAGGCUUAACACAUGCAAGUCGAGGGGCAGCAUAGAAGUAGCAAUACUUUGGUGGCGACCGGCGCACGGGUGAGUAACGCGUAUGCAACCUACCUAUCAGAGGGGAAUAACCCGGCGAAAGUCGGACUAAUACCGCAUAAAACAGGGGCACCGCAUGGUGAUAUUUGUUAAAGAAAUUCGCUGAUAGAUGGGCAUGCGUUCCAUUAGGUAGUUGGUGAGGUAACGGCUCACCAAGCCGACGAUGGAUAGGGGAACUGAGAGGUUGGUCCCCCACACUGGUACUGAGACACGGACCAGACUCCUACGGGAGGCAGCAGUGAGGAAUAUUGGUCAAUGGGCGGGAGCCUGAACCAGCCAAGUCGCGUGAAGGAAGAAGGAUCUAUGGUUCGUAAACUUCUUUUGCAGGGGAAUAAAGUGCGGGACGUGACCUGUUUUGUAUGUACCCUGAGAAUAAGGAUCGGCUAACUCCGUGCCAGCCGCCGCAGUAACAC
rnacentral:rRNA from 1 species